AUACGUAGGGGGCAAGCGUUAUCCGGAUUUACUGGGUGUAAAGGGAGCGUAGACGGCAAAGCAAGUCUGAAGUGAAAGCCCCGGGCUCCACCCGGGAAUUGCUUUGGAAACUGUUUAGCUGGAGUGCAGGAGAGGUAAGCGGAAUUCCUAGUGUAGCGGUGAAAUGCGUAGAUAUUAGGAGGAACACCAGUGGCGAAGGCGGCUUACUGGACUGUAACUGACGUUGAGGCUCGAAAGCGUGGGGAGCAAACAGGAUUAGAUACCCUGGUAGUCCACGCUGUAAACGAUGAUUACUAGGUGUUGGGGACCAAAGGUCCUCGGUGCCGCCGCAAACGCAUUAAGUAAUCCACCUGGGGAGUACGUUCGCAAGAAUGAAACUCAAAUGAAUUGGCGGGG
rnacentral:rRNA from 1 species